rnacentral:tRNA from 1 species
GCCAGCGUAGCUCAGUUGGUAGAGCAGAGCUUUCGUAAAGCUAAGGUCGCCAGUUCGAUCCUGGCCGCUGGCU